rnacentral:rRNA from 1 species
AUGGCUCAGGACGAACGCUGGCGGCGUGCUUCACACAUGCAAGUCGAACGGAUCACUUUCGGGUGGUUAGUGGCGAACGGGUGAGUAACACGUGAGUAACCUGUCCCGAAGACUGGGAUAACAGUGGGAAACUGCUGCUAAUACCGGAUGUCCCCAUGUGGUCGCAUGGUUGUGUGGGGAAAUGCUUUUGUGCUUCGGGAGGGGCUCGCGGCCUAUCAGCUUGUUGGUGGGGUGAUGGCCUACCAAGGCGUCGACGGGUAGCUGGUCUGAGAGGACGAUCAGCCACACUGGGACUGAGACACGGCCCAGACUCCUACGGGAGGCAGCAGUGGGGAAUCUUGCGCAAUGGGCGGAAGCCUGACGCAGCAACGCCGCGUGAGGGAUGAAUGCCUUCGGGUUGUAAACCUCUUUCGAGCAGGGACGAUUGUGACGGUACCUGCAGAAGAAGCUCCGGCCAACUAC